AUACGGAGGGUGCAAGCGUUACUCGGAAUCACUGGGCGUAAAGCGCGCGCAGGCGGCUAUUUAAGUUGGAUGUGAAAGCCUACGGCUCAACCGUAGAACUGCAUCCAAAACUAUUAGACUAGAGUGUGGGAGAGGAAGAUGGAAUUAGUUGUGUAGGGAUAAAAUCCGUAGAGAUAACUAGGAAUACCAAAAGCGAAGGCAAUCUUCUGGAACACUACUGACGCUGAGGCGCGAAAGCGUGGGGAGCAAACAGGAUUAGAAACCCUAGUAGUCC
rnacentral:rRNA from 1 species